rnacentral:hammerhead_ribozyme from 1 species
AAGCGAAACCGGGCCUUGGCCCGGUCGUCUGGAGGUGGUUCUCCAGGCCUGAUGAUGCAGCCCCAA